UCGAACAUCUAUAGCAAUCCUAACAAAUCAUGAUAGUUCACUGCAAGCUUGAUCAUUUUAUAAUGACUCAAGAAAGGUAGGUAAGAUUUCGGUAGCAAAUUGAGGAUAGCAUCCUUGUCUAACUGUUCAUGUAACAGAAAGCCAAGUUUGCUUAAGUAUUCAAUCUACUCGAUCAUGAAUAAUAUAUGAUCAGUGACUAACGUCCCUUCU
rnacentral:lncRNA from 1 species